GAUGAACGCUGGCGGCGUGCCUAAUACAUGCAAGUCGAGCGAACGGACGAGGAGCUUGCUUCUCUGUUGUUAGCGGCGGACGGGUGAGUCACACGUGGAUAACCUACCUAUCAGACUGGUAUAACUUCGGGACACCGGCGCUAAUACCGUAUAAUAUUCUGAACCGCGUGGUUCAUAAGUGAAAGACGGCGUUUCUGUCACUUAUAGAUGGAUCCGCGCUGCAUUAGCUAGUUGGUAAGGUUACGGCUUACCAAGGCAACGAUGCAUAGCCGACCUGAGAGGGCGGGCAGCCACCCUGGGACUGAGACACGGCACAGAGUCCUACGGGUGGCAGCAGUAGGGAAUCGUGCGCAAGGGGCGAGAGCCUGACGGAGAAACGCCGCGUGCGUGAUGAGGGUCUUCGGAUCGGAAAACACUGUUAUUGGGGAGGAAAAUGUGUGUGCGUAACUGUACACGUCAUGACGGGAACUAAGCAAAGAGGCACGGCUAACUUAGUU
rnacentral:rRNA from 1 species